UACAGAGGUGCCAAGCGUUAGGCGGAAUCACUGGGCUUAAAGCGCGUGUAGGCGGGUUCGUAAGUGUCUUGUGAAAUCCCACGGCUCAACCGUGGAACUGCUGGGCAUACUGACGGAUCUUGAGGCACUCAGGGGCUGUCGGAAGCAAAUGGUGGAGCGGUGAAAUGCGUAGAUAUCAUUUGGGAACGCCAACGGUGAAAAGCAGACAGCUGGGGGGUGUCCUGACGGCUGAGACGGCGAAAAGCCAGGGGAGCGAACGGGG
rnacentral:rRNA from 1 species